rnacentral:rRNA from 1 species
AGCGAACGCUGGCGGCAUGCCUAACACAUGCAAGUCGCACGGGGGGGCUUCGGCCUCCCAGUGGCGGACGGGUGAGGAACGCGUAGGGACCUGUCGAGGGGUGGGGGAUAACCGCGGGAAACUGCGGCUAAUACCGCAUGACGCCGCGGCGUGACAGCCGGGGCCAAAGGCGAAAGCCGCCCGCCGAGGGGCCUGCGUCCGAUUAGCUGGUUGGCGGGGUGGCGGCCCACCAAGGCGUCGAUCGGUAGCUGGUCUGAGAGGGUGAUCAGCCACACCGGGACUGAGACACGGCCCGGACUCCUACGGGAGGCAGCAGUGGGGAAUAUUGGACAAUGGGCGCAAGCCUGAUCCAGCAAUGCCGCGUGGGUGAAGAAGGUCUUCGGAUUGUAAAGCCCUUUCGGCGGGGACGAUGGUGACGGUACCCGCAGAAGAAGCCCCGGCUAACUUCGUG